rnacentral:rRNA from 1 species
UACGUAGGGUCCGAGCGUUGUCCGGAAUUACUGGGCGUAAAGAGCUCGUAGGUGGUUUGUCGCGUUGUUCGUGAAAACUCACAGCUUAACUGUGGGCGUGCGGGCGAUACGGGCAGACUGGAGUACUGCAGGGGAGACUGGAAUUCCUGGUGUAGCGGUGGAAUGCGCAGAUAUCAGGAAGAACACCCGUGGCGAAGGCGGUUCUCUGGGACGGUACUGACGCUGAGACGCGAAAGCGUGGGGAGCGAACAGG